UCCAGGCCUGAAUUCUGGCAAUGGAUUGCUGGUUGGAAAGAAAAAGCACCACUUCCUGCUUGGCUCAUAAAAAUCCCCCAAGUGCGCUCUUUUCUUCUUUUCUCCAUCUGCUGGCUUACUGGGGAGGACUCCAGAGACCUAUGAGAAACAAGAACUUUAAGACAGAAAAAGCCUUGAACAGAGUCUGCUGCCACCCCAUCAGAUGUAAGCAAGAAAUAACAUUUAUUUUGGCUCCAGUUGACCUUGAUGGGGUACUGUUCAUUGGUGUGAAUUUCCCUUCCGUGAGGUUCCAUCUGUCAGACUGAACUCUGCCUGCUUGGAGUUGACCAAUGACAAAUGAGCAUGAGGAAUAUGAAUCUAAAGACAACUUUUUCCUGCUUCUAGAGAUA